rnacentral:sRNA from 16 species
GGCGGGGUGCUGCUCAGCCCGUUCCUGAUUUAUGUGGUGCUGGCGCUGGUGCUGACCGGUGCCCUGCGGAUGCUGGUGCGGGUAACCGGGCUGGGCCGCUGGAUCUGGCACGAAGCACUGUUCGAUUGUGCCCUG